UAGCCUGGGUACCCAUGCUUUGAAUGAUAACUGCUGUUGAAUGCUAUCACAGACAGCGACAAGCAGUCACAAGCAGAGAUGAAGGCGUCAUGCUACCACCACCCCUCUACUUCAGGGGCAGGCGUGAACCCACCUGACUGCACCUGUGGUUUGAGACAUUGCUGACCUUGGACAACCAAUUGUUUACAAUGAAACGGUGCAGUGGAGAGCAGUAUAUAACAGUUUCGAGGAGGGAACUCCAAUUCACUGGUUGUCCUGACUCACCAUGCAACAUUACUCUGAGCUGGGUAACUAGAGGCCAGAGAACAGUAUUUUUCAAAAAGGCUAAGGGCAUACCAGCGAGAUAUGUUGUGAAGUUAUUCACCAAGAUGUCCUCCCUGACCCCUACGGUGCUUUAGAAGUGGAAAGGACUUGUGAGCUUUCCUGUGGUCAAUGACUGUGCAGCUAUCCUACAGAAUGUCCACACUACAAUCAAACAAGUUCUCAGUCUUAGAUUCUACUGUAUCUCCCCUGCAGACAUGCUGAAAGUACAUUACAAAAAAGAUUGGGGUCUGUAUUCAUUGUCUGAAACCUCGUAGGCUUUUUCUAUGUAAGCUUGUGAAAAAGCCAUUAAGAGUUGUACAGCUGUGCUAUCCUGAAGGUAAACUUCUCUUCUUUUACAAAUCCCUGCUACAAGCCAAAUAUGCCUCACCAGAGAGCUGUCAUUUUACUAUCUUUAUGGGCAUCUAAUGCCCAUGUUUACCUCAUGUAAAUGGAGAACACUAACCAAACUUUUUUCCCCCGUAACUGUCUCAAACUGUUAAGUUCCCUCCUAAGCUCUAGUAUGAUUUAUGUGGGAUUUCAGUAUUGUACAUCAGCUGUUCUGUUUGUUCUCUUCAGAAGCAAUUAUAUGUAUCACACUGAAUUGUCCUAUAUCUUUUCUGAAUACCCUCCCAAAUGAAAUAAAAUACCUUGUCUCAUUUGCUAACAUUUUCAAUUCCUAGCUGACUGAUCUAUAUGUUAAUGAUCAUUUAUUUUCUCAGUGCUGCUGGAACAGUCAGUCUUGCUUCUCUUAGCAAAAUGUCCU